rnacentral:rRNA from 1 species
CGCGUAGGCGGUUCGUACAGUCAGACGUGAAAUUCCCGGGCUCAACCUGGGGGCUGCGUUUGAUACGUGCGGGCUUGAGUUCGGAAGAGGGUCGUGGAAUUCCCAGUGUAGAGGUGAAAUUCGUAGAUAUUGGGAAGAACACCGGUGGCGAAGGCGGCGACCUGGUCCGAUACUGACGCUGAGGCGCGAAAGCGUGGGGAGCAAACAGGAUUAGAUACCCUGGUAGUCCACGCCGUAAACGAUGUGUGCUGGAUGUUGGGCGGUCUGACCGUUCAGUGUCGUAGCCAACGCGAUAAGCACACCGCCUGGGGAGUACGGCCGCAAGGUUGAA